GGAGAAAAGAAAAGUGUUUAGUGUUUCCGACGUACAUUUCAACCUUACAGGAUUAAUUGUGAACAGAAGGUACGAAAUCAAAGUGCGGGCCUACAACCAGUGUGGGAAUGGUCCGUCAAGUGAGGUCCUCUGGGUAAAAACAGACGAGAGAAGGCCUAAGGUGGCGCCUCCAAAUAUUAGCGCAGUGAGAGUGAAUUCGUCCUGUGUACUGGUCUCCUGGGAAAGGAUACCCGAUGGUAAACGACGGGGCUUGAUACAGAAAUACAGAGUAAAUAUUACAUCAAAGAUCCCCAACGAAACAACAAGUCGCGAAGUACAAGCGCCAACACAGUAUCUGGAGAUCGUUGGCAUAAAUGUGGACUCAAAAUUUACCAUUACUGUGGAGGCUGCAAAUAGCAAAGGAUUUGGACCAGUCAGUGAGCCUGUUAAUAUAACUGCUGUUCCGUAACAACAUCCUUGGAACAAUUUACGAUACCAAACGUGAUGAUCUGUGAAAUUUUUUUAAUGUACAGGGUACAAUAAAGGAAUUAUCGCCAA